rnacentral:rRNA from 1 species
CACUCCUACGGGAGGCAGCAGUGGGGAAUAUUGCACAAUGGGCGCAAGCCUGAUGCAGCCAUGCCGCGUGUAUGAAGUAAGGCCUUCGGGUUGUAAAGUACUUUCGGCAGUGAGGAAGGUGGAUAUGUUAAUAGCAUAUUCAUUUGACGUUAGCUGCAGAAGAAGCACCGGCUAACUCCGUGCCAGCAGCCGCGGUAAUACGGAGGGUGCGAGCGUUAAUCGGAAUUACUGGGCGUAAAGCGCAUGCAGGUGGUUUGUUAAGUCAGAUGUGAAAGCCCCGGGGCUCAACCUCGGAAUUGCAUUUGAAACUGGCAAACUAGAGUACUGUAGAGGGGGUAGAAUUUCAGGUGUAGCGGUGAAAAUGCGUAGAGAUCUGAAGGAAUACCGGUGGCGAAGGCGGCCCCCUGGACAGAUACUGACACUCAGAUGCGAAAGCGUGGGGAGCAAACAGGAUUAGAUACCCUGGUAG